AGAAUCAACGCUGGCGGCGUGCCUAACACAUGCAAGUCGAACGAGAAAGUGGAGCAAUCCAUGAGUAAAGUGGCGCACGGGUGAGUAACACGUGACUAACCUACCCUUGAGUGGGGGAUAACCUAGAGAAAUCUGGGCUAAUACCGCAUAAUACCUUCGGGUCAAAGGAGCAAUUCGCUUAAGGAGGGGGUCGCGGCCGAUUAGUUAGUUGGCGGGGUAAUGGCCCACCAAGACUAUGAUCGGUAUCCGGCCUGAGAGGGCGCACGGACACACUGGAACUGAAACACGGUCCAGACUCCUACGGGAGGCAGCAGUGGGGAAUUUGCGCAAUGGGGGAAACCCUGACGCAGCAACGCCGCGUGGAGGAUGAAGUCCCUUGGGACGUAAACUCCUUUCGAUCGGGACGAUUAUGACGGUACCGGAAGAAGAAGCCCCGGCUAACUUCGUGCCAGCAGCCGC
rnacentral:rRNA from 1 species